rnacentral:rRNA from 1 species
GGCGGCAGGCCUAACACAUGCAAGUCGGGCGGUAACACAGGGAGCUUGCUCCUGGGUGACGAGCGGCGGACGGGUGAGUAAUGUCUGGGAAACUGCCUGAUGGAGGGGGAUAACUACUGGAAACGGUAGCUAAUACCGCAUAACGUCUUCGGACCAAAGUGGGGGACCUUCGGGCCUCAUGCCAUCAGAUGUGCCCAGAUGGGAUUAGCUAGUAGGUGGGGUAAUGGCUCACCUAGGCGACGAUCCCUAGCUGGUCUGAGAGGAUGACCAGCCACACUGGAACUGAGACACGGUCCAGACUCCUACGGGAGGCAGCAGUGGGGAAUAUUGCACAAUGGGCGCAAGCCUGAUGCAGCCAUGCCGCGUGUAUGAAGAAGGCCUUCGGGUUGUAAAGUACUUUCAGCGAGGAGGAAGGCAUUAAGGUUAAUAACCUUGGUGAUUGACGUUACUCGCAGAAGAAGCACCGGCUAACUCCGUGCCAGCAGCCGCGGUAAUACGAGGUGCAAGCGUUAAUCG